GCUGGUGAAGAAGAGCUUUAUGUAUGCCUUUCUUCAAUUCCUGCCAGGAUAUCGGCUUUGUGUUCAUCUAAACAGGCCCAGGUUUCACUGAAGCUUCCUUAAUCACGAUGAACCCAGGCUACGCAGGCAGGACCGAGCUCCGGGACAACCUGGAGGCCGCUUCAGAUCCGUCUCCAUGAUUGUGCCCGACCACGUCGUCAUCGCAGAGGUGGACUUGUGAGCUGAUGGCUUCAAGUCCAGUGAGACUCUGGCGAGGAAGAUGAUUCAGCUGUAUAAGCUGUGCAGCAAGCAGCUUUCCCGGCAGGACCACUACGACUUCAGCAUGAGAGCCGUCAACUCUGUUAUCGCCAUGGCCGGGUCUCUGAAGCGAGAGAACCCACACCUGAGUGAGAACGUGGUGUUGAUUAGAGCGCUACGAUACUCCAACCUGCCCAAGUUACUCAAGGAUGACACAGAACUUAAAAUAAAAUAAAUUGAUAAAUAGUAAAGAACGCCAAAGCUUACAUAUGGAGUAUCAAAGGUCAUUAUCACAGGAUCAGUGGAAUCAGGCACUAGGAGGAAAUUCCAGGACAAAUUAGGAAAUACAGUAAAACCUUGGAUUGCGAGUAACUUGGUUUGCGAGUGUUUUGAAAGACUUGAUAUACGAGCGAGGUCUUGCAAUACGAGUACCUGUAGUACGUAUACACCGCUUUGACUGUCGAGCGUCACGUGAUCACUACUGAGCUGAUGGUUCUUCUCUCACAUGCUCGGUCUCAGUCAGCGUGCCUCAUUGACUUUUAUAGUCAACAUCUGUAUGAGCGUAUACUGUUUACUAUAGUGUUGUAACUGUAGUAACUGUACUGCGACAAUGGCCCCAUGAAGAAAAAAAUUGAAAAGGAAAGCGAUAAGAAAAAGGAGAUGAUUACGGUGGAAGUUAAGAAGGAAAUGAUCGAGAAGCACAAACAAGGUAUGCGAGUAGCUGAGUUGCGAGUAGUCAGUUGUCGAUGAAAUUGUGUCCUUGGGAAAGACCAUGGGACUGGACAUGAAUGAAGACGACAUUCAAGAACUGGUUGAGGAACAUGGCCAGGAGCUGACCACAGACGAACUGAUGGAUCUGCAUCACGAGCAACAGCAAGAGGUUAUGGGGGAGGUCUUGUCUGAGAAGGAGGAGGAGAAAAAGACGGAGAAAUCCCUCACUUCAAAUGAGAUUAGGGAGGUGUGUAAAAUGUGGGAAACAGCGCAAAAUUUUGUAGAAAAGCACCACCCGAGUAAGACUGUAGCAGUGCGAGCGAUGAAUCUGUUUAACGACAAUGUAAUGUCACAUUUCCGCGAAAUCCUUAAAAGGAGGCAAAAGCAAGUGUCACUGGAUAGGUUCCUUGUUAACGUCGUACAAAAAGAAAAAGAUUCUGGCGGGACAACAGACAGCAGUGAUUCCAUUAGUAACAGUGAAAGUCCCCCUACACAAUAAUGAAUAAAUGUGAUUACUUUAUAUUAAAUUUAAAUAAUAAAAAUAUAAAAUGGUAUUUUGUGUUAAUCAUUAUUAUGUAUAUGAAUAUUUUUGGCUUUUGGAACAAAUUAUCUGAGUUUCCAUUAUUUCUUAUGGGGAAAUUCGCUACGAGUGCUUUGGAUUACGAGGAACGAAUUAUGCUCACAAUCCAAGGUUUGACUGUACAAUUAACUGACAUUUGCAAAUUCUUUGCAACUAAAAAGCUGUAAUUAUAUAACUUUAUAACUUUUUUUAAGCAUUUAAAGUAUAUAACAUUAGCACCUUGUAAUGUUAUACCAGAUGAAAAGUAAAGAAUCCUGGAACAGCUGAACAUCCAUAAUCUGAAAAUCUUGAACCUAGUGUCAAUCGAGUCAAUCCAAUCCUUCUUGUGUGCGUUUAGCGGUAUUCUGUCGGACCUCUUUCCUGGUGUGGGCGUCCCCGUGCAUGACUACGGCGUGCUUCAGUCGAACAUCGAGGCAGCUCUAUGCGCCCGCUCCCUGCAGCUCUUCUCCAGCAUGACCACCAAGGUGAUCCAGCUGUACGAGACCAAGCUGGUGCACCCGGGCGUCUUGCUGGUGGGCCCUACAAGAGGCGGUUAGACCACAGCGUACCGUGCCCUCGCUGACUCACUGCGCACUCUCCACGAGACAGAGGGCUGCGAGGUGAAUCCCUUCUACAAGCCCAUCGAGACCGACGUGCUCAACCCACAGUCAGUGAGCAUGGAUGAGCUGUAUGGUGAAGACGACCCUCUCACACUGGAGUGGAGUGCCAUCAAACUGUCCCUCGGCAGUGACAUCGUCGACACGCACAAGUGGGUGGUGAGUGACAUACCUGUGGAUGUGCCUGUGGAUUGAGAAAAUUACCGCCGUGUUGGACAACAAGACGCUCUGUCUGGCUAAAUGUGAAAGGAUCAAGCUCACACCUUCUACACACGUUAUUCGAGGUGUUACCCAUUAGACACAGAUAGCACCGGUCCUAAAACCAUCACAAACAAGCACAAGUAUGUCAUUUCCAAGAAGAUUUUUAUUAUUUUUUUUUUACAUUAAACGGGUUCCUGAUGGAAAGGUCACACACGAACGUAUCUUUAAGACUUCACUCUUUCACACGUCUAUAACGAGCGAUAAACGCAUUCGAAGCAUGUUAUAAAGCCUCUGUAAUGCAUUACACAUAGUAUUUAAAUAAAUAUUAUUACAAUAACAUGCACUACACUACAUUAUGCAUUAUGCACAACAGAUUAUAAGUCUUGGCUGACUCUAGACUGAUAAGGGAACCUGCAAAUGUAAGUGAAAACCAAAUUCAAGGUGUCUCAAAUGAAAAACUGCUGUAGAUUUAACAUUGACAAAAUAUUUCAAAUUGUUACAAGCUCUACAUCAUUCAGAAAUUCUGGUGGCCACAACACCGCCUAAUCGUUAUCCACCAAGUGUGUUCAGACAGGUCACAAAAUCUUUCAUUAAACCUUCUCCAAACCAGUCAACACUGGAAAAGUUGAUGAAAGUUAACAGAUCCGUUCUCAACAGUAGAGACUCUUCUUCUGAGAUUAGUUUAUCAUCAUGGUCAAUCUGGCAACCUGAAGUGUAACUGAGGAAGCAGCACCCUUCGAGCUAACGCUAUAUCUAUACUUUAAAAUUAUCUACCUUACGUUAUACAAAUAUAACUGACACUACUUUAGAUAAAACAAUCGUAAUGUUGCGCUGUCGCUAAAUUUGAUCUGUUUUUUUUUUACAAGCAUCUGCGACUAGCUUGUAGCCUGUAGCCCGCUAGCAUCACCUACUGCUAGCCUUGUUUACGUUUCACAUUUCUCACUUACUGCUGUUCUGUUUAAAAAAUGGUGCGGCUUCACAUGGUGCGGCUGGAACUGGAGGAUGUGGAGAAGCAGAUCCGCGGCCUACUCGACAAGCAGGCCCAGCUGUUGGAGCGACAAACUGUGCUGGAAACAUCUUGUGCCUCUGCCCACAUAUCCAAGGUAAGCACACAGCAUGGUAUUUCCACUCCCAGCCCCUCUAUGCCGUGUGUUUCUCUGUGCAGGGACCGUGCACCUAGGACUUUCCCAGCCUUGGUCUCCGUCACGCCGGCGCCAACACACCUCGGGCCUUGGGUGAACCAGUGGCGGAAGGCGCGGGCUGGACCAUCUCCACUUCCUGUGUUCGAGAUUCCAACCAGGAACCGCUUCGCCCCUCUCCGCCAGACCAGACCCAACGCUGUGAUCGUCGGGGACUCCAUUGCACAACGUCCGUGUAGCCUAAUCUAAAGGUAAGGUGCGCACACACUGUUUUUCUGGUGCUUGUGUCCUUGAUGUCGCUGCGCAGGUAUCCGGGAUCCUGAAGAAGGACGAGCGCAUUGGAGCGGUUGUGCUGCACGCGGGGACGAACGACAUCAGACGGAGGUUCUGAAGAGGGACUUCUCCAGCCUGAUCGAGACGGUACGAGGCAGAUCACCCACCGCGAAGAUCAUCGUCUCUGGACCUCUUCCCUCAUACAGACGUGGAGCAGAAAAGUUCAGUAGACUUCUAUCAUUAAAUGAUUGGUUAGUCUCUUGGUGUAAUGAGCAGAAUCUGGUGUUUGUCAAUAACUGGAAUCUGUUCUGGGAGCGUCCUAGGUUGUUUCAUCCUGUUGGCCUGCACACCAGCAGCCUUGGAGCGGAACUGCUUUCAGACAACAUUUCCAAGGCGCUACACUCCAAGUGACUGUCUACCAGGAAUCAGGUAGGGCUUCCAGCGCAGUGAGGGCUGGACAGAAAUGUGGAUCUGAUGAUGGUGCUGAGGGACCCACUUCUGCUGCUACUUGUGUUUGCCGUGGAGGGGCGGAGUCCAGGU